rnacentral:lncRNA from 1 species
AUUUGAGAUGUACGUUGAAGUACUUUUAUACUUAAGAUUUAUUUUGAAAUGUAUAUAGAUAAUGCCAAUGCUAAGAGUGUACUAAAGCUGAAGAACAGUACUCCAACUAUACUGACAAAGUCAAAAUGCUUAUCAGUGCUUCAUAUCAUAAACUUCAGGAAGGAAAGGAAGAUAUGGGAGACAGAAGAAGGAAAAGAAAAUAUUCAAAGUUAAUGACUGCAAAGACAGACCUUUGAAGAUUUAA